rnacentral:rRNA from 1 species
UACGUAGGAGACGAGCGUUGUCCGGAGUUACUGGGCGUAAAGGGUGCGCAGGCGGCCUGGCGCGUCGCGAGUGAAAUCUCCUGGCUCAACUGGGAGGUGGUCGCGAGACGGCUGGGCUUGAGGCUCGGUGAGGGGCGUGGAAUUCCGGGUGGAGCGGUGAAAUGCGUAGAGAGUCGGGAGGAAGGCCGGUGGCGAAGGCGGCGCUCUGGAAGCAUUUCUGACGCUGAGGCUCGAAAGCGUGGGAGCAACAGG